rnacentral:lncRNA from 1 species
GAGCUACGGAGUGGAUUGGACAGACAGAAGAGCAGACGAAAAUUUGACAAUGGCAUUGACAUCGAAAUAUCAUCGCGGUGUGGCUUUGGUUUUAUUUUUAGCCAGGGCUAAUCAAAAACUGAACGAAAGCCUCUCCGAAGCAUUAGUUACCCUUGCAGAUGGACACAAGAAGAUGGCAACAGCAGUUGGCAGUUGUCCCGUCUAUAAAUUGAAGAAUUAGCUGAAUUUGCAUUGAACAAAAGCCCAGCACUGUAUCGUUUCGGUUGUCAAGCCGCACUGGGAUAGUGGCUCAAAGGCGGAGUUGUUUAACAGUUGCUUUGCAUACAAUUGAUUCAAAGUCGACCUCAGCUCAACUCUUCGUCUGGAGUCAGCAUCUUGGCCAGUAACUGGGCGACUGGUCAAGACUUGGUCAAGAAACCGCAUUGAACUUGAGUUGAUUUUUACGAUCGUCGUUUUUGUUUCCUCUCCCA